CCAGUGCUCCACUGCUCCACUGACGUAUAUAUAUAUGUAUGUAUAUACACCUGGGCACAAGCACAAGGAAAAGAGACGGAAUGAUCCACUCGACAUUUCGACGGUACAGCCAGAUGGGGGCAAAAUUGAAGAGAAAAGAGAGAGAAAGUGUGCCUGUGUGAAAAAGGACGAUAGUUACAUCGUAUCCUCUGUUAGCGAUGAGUGAGGGUAAAAAAGUUAGGAGGAAUGCCAAUAUGAUGGGAUCCACUCGGAAAUAAGAUAAGAAUGUAGGGUUCAUUCAUGUCAUGCCAAGUUGCAAGUAUCCACAAUACGGCAUAGAGAGAAGAAGAUGGCCAGAUUCUUAAAAAAAAAAAGAAAAAGCGAG
rnacentral:sRNA from 1 species